AGCGAACGCUGGCGGCAUGCUUAACACAUGCAAGUCGCGCGGGCGGGGGCAACUCCGUCAGUGGCGGACGGGUGAGUAACGCGUAGGAAUCUAUCCUUGGAAUGGGGGACAACCGUGGGAAACUACGGCUAAUACCGCAUGAUGCCUGAGGGCCAAAGACGAAAGUCGUUUGAGGAGGAGCCUGCGUCUGAUUAGGUAGUUGGUGGGGUAAAGGCCUACCCAAGCCUACGAUCAGUAGCUGGUCUGAGAGGAUGAUCAGCCACAUUGGGACUGAGACACGGCCCAAACUCCUACGGGAGGCAGCAGUGGGGAAUAUUGGACAAUGGGCGCAAGCCUGAUCCAGCAAUGCCGCGUGGGUGAAGAAGGUCUUCGGAUUGUAAAGCCCUUUUGGCGGGGACGAUGAUGACGGUACCCGCAGAAUAAGCUCCGGCUAACUUCGUG
rnacentral:rRNA from 1 species